AUUGAACGCUGGCGGCAUGCCUAACACAUGCAAGUCGAACGAAGCCUUCGGGCUUAGUGGCGCACGGGUGCGUAACGCGUGGGAAUCUGCCCUUAGGUUCGGAAUAACUCUCCGAAAGGAGUGCUAAUACCGGAUGAUGUCGAAAGACCAAAGAUUUAUCGCCCAGGGAUGAGCCCGCGUAGGAUUAGCUAGUUGGUGAGGUAAAAGCUCACCAAGGCGACGAUCCUUAGCUGGUCUGAGAGGAUGAUCAGCCACACUAGGACUGAGACACGGCCCAGACUCCUACGGGAGGCAGCAGUGGGGAAUAUUGGACAAUGGGCGAAAGCCUGAUCCAGCAAUGCCGCGUGAGUGAUGAAGGCCUUAGGGUUGUAAAGCUCUUUUACCCGGGAUGAUAAUGACAGUACCGGGAGAAUAAGCCCCGGCUAACUCCGUGCCAGCCGCCGCGGUAA
rnacentral:rRNA from 1 species